UCAGUCGACUCCUACGGGGAGGCAGCAGUGGGGGAAUAGUUGCACAAUGGGCGCAAGCCUGAUGCAGCCAUGCCGCGUGUGUGAAGAAGGACCUUCGGGUUGUAAAGCACUUUCAGUCGUGAGGAAGGUAGUGUAGUUAAUAGCUGCAUUAUUUGACGUUAGCGACAGAAGAAGCACCGGCUAACUCCGUGCCAGCAGCCGCGGUAAUACGGAGGGUGCGAGCGUUAAUCGGAAUUACUGGGCGUAAAGCGCAUGCAGGUGGUUUGUUAAGUCAGAUGUGAAAGCCCGGGGCUCAACCUCGGAAUUGCAUUUGAAACUGGCAGACUAGAGUACUGUAGAGGGGGGUAGGAAUUUCAGGUGUAGCGGUGAAAUGCGUAGAGAUCUGAAGGAAUACCGGUGGCGAAGGCGGCCCCCUGGACAGAUACUGACACUCAGAUGCGAAAGCGUGGGGAGCAAACAGGAUUAGAUACCCUGGUAG
rnacentral:rRNA from 1 species